AGUUCUGUUAAGAGCUGGGCACAAAGAGCCCUUUGCACUCCAGCCGCAGGAGCGAGGAGGAGCCGAGCCCUUACCAUUCCUCCACUUAUGGGCCUUAUCCCAGACCUGGGGCGUCCAGCGCAGCCUCAAACCCAGGGCAUCUCUGCACUCUCAUCGCGACGUCGCUCUGGAUGCUGUUUGCAUAUCCUUGGGGAGUCACUGCUUUGGCACAACAGUCCUGCGAGGUGCUGGAAUUCCGUCUGUUCUCAUCACACGGACAUGGCUGAUCUGUCUCAGUGGUACCUGGGGGCAAAGCAGGGAGCCGGGCGGUGGAGGCCAACAUUGUUACCAAGUUGGCUCUGUCUCAACACAGGGACUGAGCCUUCUGAGCCUCAAGAGUUCCUGCUGGUUCCCAGGUGGUGGAAGAGUGGAGAGAUUUGGGAAAGGUCACGACUAGCCUGCAAAGCAGCCUUGCAGAUAAGUAUCAUUUCACCAGCCUGCCUGCUCUCUGCUGGUGCGUGUGAGAAAGGGUCAGCUCUGGAAUCCCCAACGGGAGGGAGGAUGGCCGUCCUGUGACUCUGGCUCUUGAAGAUGUCAUUUGUAAGCUUGAACAGGCUCCUGGGUCUUGCAGACACAGGGGGACCUCCUCAGGGUUCCUCCACUCAGGAUCCUCCAGGAUCCUGGGACAGUAGGCUCUAAGAGCAGCUAUGAGAUGUCUCACCUUCCUUGGCUCGGGGUUUGGAGGACAGAUGUAGCAUGACUGUCAGGAAAGAGCAAACCUGAGUCCUGGUGUGGAAUGCAGGCACUCCCUUCUCUCUUCCACCACCCUGGUGACUUGCAGUGGUCCACACAAGCUCUGCACACUUUGGCCACCUGUUUUUUUGUUGUGGGAGUCACAGGAAGGAGGGGACUGAGGUGGGCAGAGGGCUGCUUUCAUUUCUCAACCAUGCCUUGAAUGGCCACUAUAGUUCCCUUGUGGGACAGGGCAGGGAUCAGAGAGAGGCACAGGCUUCCAGCAGCCGGGACAGUUCUAAGCUUAGAGUUCUAGAUCCCCCUCUGUCAGCACUGCUCACCCUGUUGUCCCCUAUCUGCCCAGUUUACUUUGAGUUUUUCUGGGUCACACAAGAACCCACAAUGCUCUAGGUGACAGAGGAGGAGGAGGAGGAGGCAAAUGGCUCCUGAGCCAAGGCAGGGCUUGUGCAAGGUCAUCUCCUGGGGUGCAUCUUGUGUGUGUGUGUGUGUGGGGGGGGGUAGCUCUUCUGUCUUCCAGAGUCAUCCAGUGAUGUCUGUGUGGAGGAGGAGCUAGGAGCUAGGCCUUCCAUGAUGUCGAUGAUGUAAUGAUGUCAGGUGGUACUGCUGGGUGUCCAGGGGUGAACGCCAGAGAGAUGGCCCACCCUCUGUGAUCUUCAAGUACGACAAUGCAUCACUACAGCUCAGCAAGCGGACAGCUCUGCACAUCUCCAGACCCUGAUCUGUCUUGGAGCCCUGGAGAUCCCUUGGAUUCUGACCUCCUGGAACUGGGGAGCAACCUGUCUCCCUGAAGACCCUAUCCUUCCCAGUACCUGAGAUGGACCCUCCACCCCCCGAAGAAGAGCCAUUCCUGGAAGAUGUACUA
rnacentral:lncRNA from 1 species